GGCCAGGCUGGUCUCAAACUCCUGACCUCAGGUGAUCUGCCCACCUCAGCCUCCCAAAGUACUGUGAUUACAGGCGUGAGUCACCGUGCCCGGCCUUAUCACUACUAUUAUGUUUUGUUUUGUUUUGUUUUGAGACAGUCUCAUUCUGUCGCCCAGGCUGGAGUGCAGUAGUGCGAUCUCGGCUCACUGCAAGCUCUGCCUCCCGGGUUCACGCCAUUCUCCUGCCUCAGCCUCCCGAGUCGCUGGGACUACAGGCGCCUGCCAUCAGGAUGAGAGCCACUCAGAGUGGGUGUCUUGUGUCCGCUUCUCGCCCAACAGCAGCAACCCUAUCAUCGUCUCCUGUGGCUGGGACAAGCUGGUCAAGGUGAGUGUCAAGCCAAGGCAGGGGCGGCUUUACCAGUCAGGGUGUGCUCCCAGGUGGUCAUACACUCCAAGUCCUGUGGAAAGCUUUACAGAUUCCCUCAGUUGACUCUUUCCCUUGUCACAUGGUCUGAUGUCCCUUGUAAGUCAGCACACUGCAUUGGAUAUGUGUUAUAAUCUAACGUGAAGUGGCCAGGACAUGUUACU
rnacentral:sRNA from 1 species